rnacentral:rRNA from 1 species
GAUGAACGCUAGCGGCAGGCUUAAUACAUGCAAGUUGAGGGGCAGCAUGAUAUACGCGAGUAUAUUGAUGGCGACCGGCGGACGGGUGAGUAAUAGGUAGGAGACCUACCUCAUACAGGGGGAUAGCAUAGAGAAAUCUGUGGUAAUACCCCAUGAGGUUAUAUGAAUAGAGGCAUAUAAUCAAAGCAUAAGCGAUUAUGCGGUAUGAGAGGGGCCUACUGACCAUUAGCUAGUUGGUGAGGUAAGGGCUCACCAAGGCGAAGAUGGUUAGGGGUUUUGAGAGAGAGACCCCCCACAUUGGAACUGAGAGACGGUCCAGACUCCUACGGGAGGCAGCAGUAGGGAAUAUUGGGCAAUGGGCGAAAGCCUGACCCAGCCAUGCCGCGUGAAGGAAGACGGCCUUAUGGGUUGUAAACUUCUUUACUACGCGAAUAGAGGUUAGUACGAGAUACUAAUAGGAAGGUAAUGUAGUAAAAGCACCGGCUAACUCCGUG